rnacentral:rRNA from 1 species
GUGUCAGCAGCCGCGGUAAUACGUAGGGGGCAAGCGUUGUCCGGAUUUAUUGGGCGUAAAGAGCGUGUAGGCGGCCAGGUAGGUCCGUUGUGAAAACUCGAGGCUCAACCUCGAGCUGUCGAUGGAAACCAUCUGGCUAGAGUCCGGAAGAGGAGAGUGGAAUUCCCGGUGUAGCGGUGAAAUGCGCAGAUAUCGGGAAGAACACCCGUGGCGAAGGCGGCUCUCUGGGACGGUACUGACGCUGAGACGCGAAAGCGUGGGGAGCGAACAGGAUUAGAUACCCUGGUAGUCC